rnacentral:rRNA from 1 species
CGAAAGCCUGACGGAGCAAUACCGCGUGCGGGAGGACGCUUUUUGGAGUGUAAACCGCUUUUCUCAAGGAAGAUGAUGACGGUACUUGAGGAAUCAGCAUCGGCUAACUUCGUGCCAGCAGCCGCGGUAAUACGAGGGAUGCGAGCGUUAUCCGGAAUUAUUGGGCGUAAAGCGUCCGUAGGCGGUCAUGUAAGUCUGCUGUUAAAGCGUGCAGCUUAACUGCAUAAGGGCGGUGGAAACUGCAUGACUUGAGUGUGGUAGGGGUAGAGGGAAUUCCCGGUGUAGCGGUGAAAUGCGUAGAUAUCGGGAAGAACACCAGUGGCGAAGGCGCUCUACUGGGCCACAACUGACGCUGAUGGACGAAAGCUAGGGGAGCG